UCGGGCACUCAACUGACUGAGCCACCCAGGUGCCCCUAUAAGGCCAUAUCUUGCAGUCCUUUUGUAACCCUCUCAUAACAUACUUCUUUCUGGCCACUGAGUAAACUUUCAAUAAAUAAUGAUUGAGUUAAAUGGGUGACUUUAUAGAGACCAAGGCAAGGCAAGAUGAAAUCAAGAAUCAAACACUGAUCUGGAUAACUAAAUCAGUGUAGACAGAAAUGUAAGAUGUUUCAGAAUCUCAAACAUUUGGUUCUCCAUUGUAGAUUUUUUCCUUUUUCAAUAAUAGUUUGGGUUAUGUUGAUUUGAACAGGGGACUGAGAGCUAGGACCCAAGUUAAAAGCUCUGCGUUGGAGAAAUUGGGAAAGUCACUUACACUCAUUUUGUAUCCCAUUUCUUUUCCCUACAGGCAAGGGUUUUUACAAAUAAAAGAGUUGGACAAGAGCUAGUCCAUGAAUCUGUCUUCUGCUCCUGAGGGGAUACGUAUGCAGGGCCUCUCCGUAGAGAGAAUGGCACAUUCUCAGUGGCACCUUUAGGACACAGCAGAUACCUACCGUCGACCCCCAUUCCUUCAGAUGUGACUAUUUUCCAUUGGUCUGUAUGGAUCUGCGGGUGGGAGAAUUAUGGGGUGACCUUGAAGACAGAAUGACACAGUGUGUUCUCAUUUCUAACCUAUCUGAGAAGCCUAGAUGGUUUAGGAAAUUGGAAUAAUUUCCUUUCAUUUUCGCAGAGAGCUGUGGUUUCUAAGAAAAAAUAUCAAUGUUUUCGACCAAUUCCUUCCACAAAGACUGGAAAAACCAUGCCCUAUCUGCUUAGCCCAGGCACUGUGGGCCAGACAAGACAGUUGCCUAUUUACACGAGCAGAAAACAAAGCCACUUCUAGAUCAGGCUAUCUGACUGCUGCAGAUCAGAUCAGCAGCACUGAAUGGGCUCAUCGCAGGGCCAGCUCCGGGUACCCCAGAAGACACGGGGCUGGCAGGGUCUACUCGCAGGUUCUCUGCCCAGCAUUCAUUCUGGCUUCUUCUUGACCAGCAGAACUCCUGCAUCAUUGAGGGCAGCAAGGUGUCCACUGAAAAGCGACACUUUUUCAGCUUCCUUUUCUCCUUACCUGUAGCCUUGUGACCUUGUUCUGGUCCUUGAAAUCCAAACGGAGCCUUCACGUGGAUCUCCAGGAAGACUCUCUAAAGACUGCCGAUUCAGCCCAGAGAUGUUGCUGUGUCGGAUGUUCUCAGAACACACAGACCCGACUACGGCAUGAUGCCCUAGGAAGUGGGCUCUGUAGUGCUUCAGGAUGAUGCGUCGGCCUAAGCAGACACAUUUUCUUCAGACGGUGCUUAUGGGGCACACCUUUCCUGCGAGGAAGAAACUGAGGACCAGAAAGUUGCAUAACUUGUUCAAGGUCUCCCUUGAGAGAACAGAGGACUUGGGAGCUGAGCCAAGAUGUGCACGUGGUUUCCACAGUGUGGUGAACCAACUUGGACACGAUACCCUCAGAGGUCUGACUGCCGCACAGCACGUCAGGACCGUUGGCCCAGGACUCAGGAGGAGUCUGGUCGUCUGCCUGCCUAGAACCUAUUGCUUGACCUUGGAUAAGUCGCUUUCCCUGUCCAGGCAUUGUGUCCCUCGCUCUAAGGUAAGGGAAUCCAAUCACAUCAUC